GACCUUCGUGACAGUGGGGGACCCCACAUCAUCCCAGCCUCCACGGACGCACAAUAUUGCUAACAGUGCAAGUGAGAAGAAAAUGAAGAUUUUCAUAAGUUUAUAACACAACUAAUGAAUGAAAUUUCAUGGUACAGAGAAAGCACUACUUUUCUAAAUCCAAAGACUUCAAAGAAUUUCAGAGGCCUGCUGUAAACAGGUGUAAAUCCUUCAAGAAAGAGUAACAUCAGCAACCCAGUGGAAGAAUCAAGACUAGAGCCCAAGUCUACAGACUCCUAGUCUCUACUCCAGUCACUAGACCAGGCUGUCUGCCCUGUGAGUUAGAAACAAAUGGAAUACACCACAACAGUUUUGAAAACUGUAAAGCAACUUAC